UACAGGAGGUCUCAAGCGUUGGUUCGGAUUCAUUAGGGCGUAAAGGGUGGCGUAGGCGGCGCGGUAAGUCCGGGUGUGAAAUGAUCGGAGCUUAACUCCGAAACUGCAUUCGAUACUGCCGUGGCUUGAGGACUGGAGAGGAGACUGGAAUUUACGGUGUAGCGGUGAAAUGCGUAGAGUAUCGUGAAGGAAGACCAGUGGCGAAGGCGGGUCUCUGGACAGUUCCUGACCGCUGAGGCACGAAGGUCCAGGGGAGCAAAAC
rnacentral:rRNA from 1 species